NNNNNNNNNNNNNNNNNNNNNNNNNNNNNNNNNNNNNNNNNNNGAGUCUAUGAGUCUAUGAGUCUAUUGAUUCAUCGAAGACGAGUCUUAAAGCUGUUUUACUGCAUAAUGGCAAUGUUUUGCCAUCAAUUCCAGUUGGUCAUGCAGUCCAUAUGAAGGAAACCUAUGACAACAUGAAACAACUUUUGAGGUGCAUAAACGAUGACCAACAUCAGUGGCAGCUUUGUGGCGAUUUGAAGGUUGUUGCUCUCUUGCUUGGUCCGCAGACUGGAUACACAAAGUACUGCUGUUUUCUCUGCGAAUGGGAUAGUCGCGCAAGAGAUUCCCACUACAUCAAGAAAAAUUGGCCACUCCGACAGUCAUUGGAGCCUGGGAAGAAAAGUGUUCAGCAUCCACCACUUGUUGAAUCAAGGAAGAUUUUGUUACCACCCUUACACAUCAAGCUGGGUCUGAUGAAGAACUUUGUCAAGGCCAUUGACAAAACACAAGCAGCUUUGAAGUACCUCCGUGGAAAAUUUCCAAGGUUAAAUGAAGCUAAGAUAAAGGAAGGUGUCUUUGUUGGUCCUCAGAUUCGUGAACUUCUUCGAGAUGAUGCAUUUGACCAUGCACUGCAUGGCAAGGAAAAGACGGCAUGGAAAGCCUUCCAGUUAGUGGCAAUAAAUUUUCUCGGAAACAACAAGGCAGACAACUACAGGUUGUUGAUGGAAAACCUCCUCAAGGCAUACAAAAGCCUUGGUUGCAACAUGUCACUAAAGAUACAUUUUUUGCACUGUCAUCUAGAUUUUUUUCCACCAAACUGCACAGCAGUGAGAGACAAGCAUGGUGAGCGAUUUCACCAGGACAUUGCAACAAUGGAGAAACGCUAUCAGGGCAAAUGGAACCCAUCAAUGCUUGCAGACUAUUGCUGGACAGUGACAAGAGAUGCUCCAUUUAAUGAAUACAAGAGACAAGCCAAGAAGCGCCGAGUAGACACUGAAUAGGACUAAACUAUUUACAUAAUAGUUUUUACCUUUUUUUCAUAAUAAAUUUUAUUUAUAUAACCCUUUUGCUGAUUUU
rnacentral:lncRNA from 1 species